rnacentral:rRNA from 1 species
UGGGGAAUAUUGGGCAAUGGGCGCAAGCCUGACCCAGCAACGCCGCGUGAAGGAAGAAGGCUUUCGGGUUGUAAACUUCUUUUAAGAGGGAAGAGCAGAAGACGGUACCUCAUGAAUAAGCCACGGCUAACUACGUGCCAGCAGCCGCGGUAAUACGUAGGUGGCAAGCGUUGUCCGGAUUUACUGGGUGUAAAGGGCGCGUAGGCGGGAUGGCAAGUCAGAUGUGAAAUCCAUGGGCUCAACCCAUGAACUGCAUUUGAAACUGUCGUUCUUGAGUAUCGGAGAGGCAAGCGGAAUUCCUAGUGUAGCGGUGAAAUGCGUAGAUAUUAGGAGGAACACCAGUGGCGAAGGCGGCUUGCUGGACGACAACUGACGCUGAGGCGCGAAAGCGUGGGGAGCAAACAGGAUU